rnacentral:RNase_P_RNA from 1 species
GGUCGUGGUUAUGGGGCUGCCGCCCUGUAUAGGGUGAGGAAGUUCCGUCCACCAAUCUUACAAAAAAUAUUAGCGAGAGCUAAGGCAACACCACAGAGACGAGACGGCUCAUCCGCAAAUGAUAAUGAUAGAUAUUUCUUGAAGAUGCAAUGAGCCUUAUGAAACGCAGGUGUUGCCUCGUCUUGGUGCAAGGCAUUAUGCCGCUUAGACAAAUGCCCCACAGCCAGAGCCAUCCGGGGGGAUGGCGCUUUAAAGGCUGACAGAAGACGGGCUAAAACCACAGCC